rnacentral:rRNA from 1 species
UGGGGAAUAUUGCACAAUGGGGGAAACCCUGAUGCAGCGACGCCGCGUGAGUGAAGAAGUAUUUCGGUAUGUAAAGCUCUAUCAGCAGGGAAGAAAAUGACGGUACCUGACUAAGAAGCCCCGGCUAACUACGUGCCAGCAGCCGCGGUAAUACGUAGGGGGCAAGCGUUAUCCGGAUUUACUGGGUGUAAAGGGAGCGUAGACGGUAAUGCAAGUCUGAAGUGAAAGCCCCGGGCUCAACCUGGGAAUUGCUUUGGAAACUGUGUAACUGGAGUGCUGGAGAGGUAAGCGGAAUUCCUAGUGUAGCGGUGAAAUGCGUAGAUAUUAGGAGGAACACCAGUGGCGAAGGCGGCUUACUGGACAGUAACUGACGUUGAGGCUCGAAAGCGUGGGGAGCAAACAGGAUUAGAUACCC